rnacentral:pre_miRNA from 1 species
GGGGGGAGUGCCAGAUCUUGGGCUGUGUCCCCCCGGUGCCCUGGGCUCCGGGGUCUGUGCAGCUGGAUCGCUCCCGGCCCGACAGCCCCCU